rnacentral:snRNA from 1 species
AUGCACUUUGGUAGCAUGCAUGCGAAAACUGAAAUGAUACAGAGAACAUUAGCAUGGUCCCUGUGCAAGGAUAACAUGCAAAUUUGAGAAGCAUUCCAUAUGUUU